rnacentral:lncRNA from 1 species
GCCUGGAGUGGGCGGGGCCUGGGGGCCGGGCCGGGGCGCCCGAUGGGGGCGUGCACUCUCCGCGGGGACACGCGCUCUGGGCCGCGGCAACUCGCUCCAAGUUCCCUCCCUCGCGCUCCGCGAAGCCCGCCCGAGCCCGCCCGAGCCCUCCCCUCCCCUCCUCUCCCCUCGGCGCGGACCUAGCCCUCCGCGGCCUCGCGCCCCGCGCCCCCGGCCCGCCGGCUCGGCUCCCCCCGGCCCCGCGGGGCGGCGCGAGGACUCGGCGGCGGCCCCCUCCCCGCGGGCCCGGGAGCCGACGCCGGCUGGGGCCGCACCUCCGGGACCGGGCAGCGCGGCCGAGAAAUCGCCGGCUGGACAUCCAGAGCACCUAGCCUGUUUUUUUCUGCAUCUUGAAUUGAGCAUUAACAGGACUCUUGAAGCUCUGCCUGCAGCCGAACACAAAGACCUGGAGGAGACUCCCACAUCCUUCGGGGAGAAGAAAGGAGGCAGCGGCGCCGGUUCAGGGAGCUCGUGGCUCGUGGCCUUCGGGAGGGGGGGAGUGGAUCGCGGCGUUGGCGGCGGCGUUGGCGGCGGCGGGCGAGCCGUGAGAUGCGGCGGCGCCGCGGCGGCGCCUGCUGACACCCCGGUCCCCGGCGCCGGCCGCUGCCCUUUGUGCUUCGCGUACAUGUGUCAGCUCGGCGCAUCCGGAGGCGCGCGCACCGGAAUCCAACACGGCCG